rnacentral:tRNA from 1 species
GCGCCCGUAGCUCAGUUGGAUAGAGCACCAGCCUCCGGAGUUGGGUGUCGCGCGUUCAAGUCGCGCCGGGCGCGCCA